rnacentral:rRNA from 1 species
GAUGAACGCUAGCUACAGGCUUAACACAUGCAAGUCGAGGGGUAGCAGGGUAGCAAUACCGCUGACGACCGGCGCACGGGUGAGUAACACGUAUCCAACCUUCCCAUAACUCUGGGAUAGCCUUUCGAAAGAAAGAUUAAUACCGGAUGGUACUUUUCAAGGCAUCUUGAGAAAGUUAAAGAUUUAUUGGUUAUGGAUGGGGAUGCGUUCCAUUAGCUAGUUGGUGAGGUAAAGGCUCACCAAGGCGAUGAUCAGUAGCCGGCCUGAGAGGGUGAACGGCCACACUGGGACUGAGACACGGCCCAGACUCCUACGGGAGGCAGCAGUGGGGAAUCUUCCGCAAUGGGCGCAAGUCUGACGGAGCGACGCCGCGUGGAUGAAGAAGGCCGAAAGGUUGUAAAAUCCUUUUGUUGGGGAAGAAUAACCAUGGGAGGGAAUGCCCGUGGGAUGACAUGAACCGACGAAUAAGUCCCGGCUAACUACGUG